AGAGUUUGAUCCUGGCUCAGAUUGAACGCUGGCGGUAGGUUUUAUCCAUGCAAGUCGAGCGGUAACAGACAUUUUGAUUCAGCUUGCUGAAUCAAGUGCUGACGAGCGGCGAACUGGUGAGUAACGCGUAGGAAUCUGCCCAGUAGCGGGGGAUAGCCCGAGGAAACUCGGAUUAAUACCGCUACGCCCUAAGGGGGAAAGGGGGCAUCUUUGAUGCUCUUACUAUUGGAGGAGCCUGCGUAAGAUUAGCUUGUUGGUAGGGUAAAGGCCUACCAAGGCGACGAUCUUUAGCUGGUCUGAGAGGACGAUCAGCCACAUUGGGACUGAGACACGGCCCAGACGUCUACGGACGGCAGCAGGAGAGAAUAUUGGACAAUGAGGGAAACCUUGAUCCAGCCAUACCGCGUGUGUGAAGAAGGCCUUAGGGUUGUAAAGCACUUUAAGCGAUGAAGAAGAAAAGUAAGUUAAUACCUUAUUUUUUUGACGUUAUUCGCAGAAUAAGUACCGGCUAACUCCGUGCCAGCAGCCGCGGUAAUACGGAGGGUACAAGCGUUAAUCGGAAUUACUGGGCGUAAAGCGCGCGUAGGCGGUUAAGUAAGUUGGAUGUGAAAGCCCUGGGCUCAACCUAGGAACUGCAUUCAAAACUAUUUAACUAGAGUACGAGAGAGGAGAGUAGAAUUUCUGGUGUAGCGGUGAAAUGCGUAGAUAUCAGAAGGAAUACCAAUGGCGAAGGCAGCUCUCUGGAUCGUCACUGACGCUAAGGUGCGAAAGCGUGGGUAGCAAACAGGAUUAGAUACCCUGGUAGUCCACGCCGUAAACGAUGAGAACUAGCCGUUGGGGAGAAUUAACUCUUCAGUGGCGCAGCUAACGCAUUAAGUUCUCCGCCUGGGGACUACGGCCGCAAGGCUAAAACUCAAAUGAAUUGACGGGGGCCCGCACAAGCGGUGGAUCAUGUGGUUUAAUUCGAUGCAACGCGAAGAACCUUACCUACCCUUGAAAUCCAGCGAAGUUCCUAGAGAUAGGAAUGUGCCUUCGGGAACGCUGUGACAGGUGUUGCAUGGCUGUCGUCAGCUCGUGUCGUGAGAUGUAUGGUUAAGUCCAGUAACGAGCGCAACCCCUAUCCUUAUUUGCCAGCGCAUAAUGGCGGGAACUAUAAGGAGACUGCCGGUCAUAAACCGGAGGAAGGCGGGGACGAGGUCAAGUCAUCAUGGCCCUUAUGGGUAGGGCUACACACGUGAUACAAUGGGUGGUACAGAGGGUCGCCAAAGCGCGAGCUGGAGCCAAACCCUUAAAACCAUUCUUAGUCCGGAUUGGAGUCUGCAACUCGACUCCAUGAAGUUGGAAUCGCUAGUAAUCGCGAAUCAGAAUGUCGCGGUGAAUACGUUCUCGGGCCUUGUACACACCGCCCGUCACGUCAUGGAAGUGGGUUGCACCAGAAGUGGCUUGUUUAACCUUCGGGAAAACGGUCACCACGGUGUGAUUCACAACUGGGACGAAGUCGUAACAAGGUAACC
rnacentral:rRNA from 1 species